UGAACAUCUCCUACAGCCGCUUAAAAAACAUGCAAAAAGCAACAACAACAAAAAAACUUACCGCAGAUAGGUGUAGGACUUUUGUCGUCUUUUUCGAUGAUGUUGUCCUCGAGCAAGUCUUCGGUGUGGAGAGUAUUUUGUGGGAAAAACCCCUCUUCUUUCACCGCGAGCAAGCCUUCAGCCUCCGCUGGAACGUCAUUGUUCUUCAAUGUCAACCUCCUCGACACUUUUUGGCGGGAGACCCGUUAAAGGCGUCCAACGCGCCAGAGGCAUAAAAAUCUGAACCACCACCACCGGAGUAAACACCCCGCAUUCAGAGUUAAAAGACUCCAAAGAAAAGACGUCUGGUUCGGUCGACUGAGGCUGAUAGGAUCCGUUGAUUUUAGGAGCACGGAGACUGUCACGGAAAACCCAACGACCUGAGGCCAAAAAAUCCUACUUUUCCGAGUAGCGUCGUGGUAAGUUUUAUCAUUUUUAUAAAUUGAA